rnacentral:rRNA from 1 species
CCUACGGGGGGCUGCAGUGGGGAAUAUUGGACAAUGGGGGGAACCCUGAUCCAGCCAUGCCGCGUGUGUGAAGAAGGCCCUCGGGUUGUAAAGCACUUUCAGUGAGGAAGAACGCCUGGUGGUUAAUACCCAUCAGGAAAGACAUCACUCACAGAAGAAGCACCGGCUAACUCCGUGCCAGCAGCCGCGGUAAUACGGAGGGUGCGAGUGUUAAUCGGAAUUACUGGGCGUAAAGCGCGCGUAGGUGGCUUGAUAAGCCGGUUGUGAAAGCCCCGGGCUCAACCUGGGAACGGCAUCCGGAACUGUCAAGCUAGAGUGCAGGAGAGGAAGGUAGAAUUCCCGGUGUAGCGGUGAAAUGCGUAGAGAUCGGGAGGAAUACCAGUGGCGAAGGCGGCCUUCUGGACUGACACUGACACUGAGGUGCGAAAGCGUGGGUAGCAAACAGGAUUAGAUACCCCAGUAGUC